rfam:Rhodotorula graminis WP1 unplaced genomic scaffold RHOBAscaffold_2, whole genome shotgun sequence.
GGCCGCGUGGCCUAGUGGCAUGGCGUCGCCCUCCGAUUUGGAGUUUAUAGGCGGAGAUCGUGGGUUCGAUCCCCACCGUGGUCG